UACGUAGGGGGCAAGCGUUGUCCGGAUUUACUGGGCGUAAAGAGCGUGUAGGCGGCCAAGCAGGUCCGUUGUGAAAACUGGAGGCUUAACCUCCAGACGUCGACGGAAACCGCGCGGCUAGAGUCCGGAAGAGGAGAGUGGAAUUCCUGGUGUAGCGGUGAAAUGCGCAGAUAUCAGGAAGAACACCAAUGGCGAAGGCAGCUCUCUGGGAGCGUCGACUGACGGCUGAGACGCGAAAGCGUGGGGAGCAAACAGGAUUAAGAACCCGAGGUAGCCAGACCGAAGUACCUCUGU
rnacentral:rRNA from 1 species